UACAGAGGUGGCAAGCGUUGUUCGGAAUUACUGGGCGUAAAGCGCGUGUAGGCGGCUCUUCAAGUCAGGCGUGAAAAGCCCCGGGCGUCAACUCGGGAACGUAGCGCUUGUAUACUGUCGAGCUAGAGUGUGGAAGGGGCGGAUUGGAAUUCCGUGUGUAGCGGUGAAAUGCGUAGAUAUACGGAGGAACACCAGAGGCGAAGGCGGAUCGCUGGGCCGAACACUGACGCUGAGACGCGAAAGCU
rnacentral:rRNA from 1 species